rnacentral:rRNA from 1 species
UAAGGAAUAUUGCUCAAUGGGAGAAAUCCUGAAGCAGCAACGCCGCGUGGAGGAUGAAGGGUCUAUGACUUGUAAACUCCUGUAAAGAAGGAAAAAAUUCCCAUUAGAUGGGAGAUGAUGGUACUUCUGGAGUAAGCCCCGGCUAACUACGUGCCAGCAGCCGCGGUAAUACGUAGGGGGCAAGCGUUGUCCGGAUUUACUGGGUGUAAAGGGUGCUCAGGCGGAUUUGUAAGUCAGAGGUGAAAUCUUACAGCUUAACUGUGAAACUGCCUUUGAUACUGCAAGCCUAGAGUAUGGAAGAGAGUGAUGGAAUAUCUGGUGUGGCAGUGAAAGGCGUAGAUAUCAGAUAGAACACCAAUGGCGAAGGCAGUCACUUGGUCCAUUACUGACGCUAAAGCACGAAAGCGUGGGUAGCAAACA